AACCUCCGCAAUGUGAGAAAUCGCGACGGGGGGAUCCCAAGUGCCAUUCUUAACGGGAUGGCUUUUCAUUAGUGUAAAAAGCUUUUGGAAUAAGAGCUGGGCAAGACCGGUGCCAGCCGCCGCGGUAACACCGGCAGCUCUAGUGGUAGCAAUUUUUAUUGGGCCUAAAGCGUCCGUAGCCGGUUUAAUAAGUCUCUGGUGAAAUCCUGUAGCUUAACUGUGGGAAUUGCUGGAGAUACUAUUAGACUUGAGACCGGGAGAGGUUAGAGGUACUCCCAGGGUAGAGGUGAAAUUCUGUAAUCCUGGGAGGACCGCCUGUUGCGAAGGCGUCUAACUGGAACGGUUCUGACGGUGAGGGACGAAAGUUAGGGGCGCGAACCGGAUUAGAUACCCGGGUAGUCCUAACUGUAAACGAUGCGGACUUGGUGUUGGGGUGGCUUUGAGCUGCUCCAGUGCCGAAGGGAAGCUGUUAAGUCCGCCGCCUGGGAAGUACGGUCGAAAGACUGAAACUUAAAAGGAUG
rnacentral:rRNA from 1 species